AUAAACAAGGAGAAAAAAAGUCGAAUACGCAAGAUAUCUGUGGGUUAUCAAUCUGUUCAAAUUUGUUUUCUUUUUCCUGU
rnacentral:ribozyme from 9 species